UGACGCAGCUGUAGUUCACACUCUGACCACUAGAGGGUGGAGAAAGGCUUUAAUGUGGGGCACAUGCACUAACAGUGUACACGCAGGAGGAAGGCUGAAUUCAGACUGGACCCAGUUUGAUGCAAAUUCACGACAACCGUCCAUAACGGGUUAAGAACCCUGGAGAUCGCCGACAUUUAUGACGAAACGCUUUCCGAUUUUAUUUUAGUCUUCUUCCUCUGACUUCCAGCAGCCGGAGCUCAAUCAGGCUGGAUGAUGAAGAGGACAGUCAUAAAAAACAAAUGAAUCAAUGAUAGCUAAUAUAGUGAUCCUGUGGGAUAGGAUUGGUCCACAGCAGCAACUUGGUUUGGUAUCUAAACAGAGACAAAGUCAGGAGACGUCAGAUCUGAUGAAGAGUUUGUUGUUGGAAAGUGUUUCUGUUGAGGUGAAUGUUUAAACUGUGGGACGUGAGAAGGUGAAACUUCCUGUGGUGUGCGAUCUGCAGACAGAUUGGUCGAGUCUGAACAACAUGUUGAGUGUGAGAGUCGGCAUUCCUUCCAGACAUGUCAGCACAGUUUCUGCUUCCUGGCAGUGCUCUUAUAACACAGGCAUGCUAACUGCGGCAGGAUGACUUCAUGGAUCCGGUUCUGUUGAGUCAGCCCGACCAGAGUAACAUCUGCAUCCACAGAAACCUGAACCAGGAGGCUCCAGAGCAAAGAGACUCUUUAUGAUGCAAACGGGUCGUUUGGGAUCAGUGGCGCCUCCUCAGGUACGGCUUCCGCUCCGUUUGGUUCAACAGGAAAUGAAGAGGAUAAAUCAGAGGCUGGGCUGAAGGAAGGUCUCGUUGUGUCGCCUCUCAGGCGUCUUCGUCAGCUCUUCACUCAUGUCUGCUGCUGCUCACCUCCUCACACUCCAGUACAGUCAGACUUUUCCCAUCAGCGCUAAGCGCAACAAAUUCAGAAAAUAACAUUUAUUUAAAAAGCAGAUUUCAAAGACAGAAGAUCCAUCACAUUUCAACUGCACGUUUAUAAAAACAAAGAAAAAACCAAUAAAGUCGUGACAUAAAAUCUGGGACAAGAAAAUGCAGAUGUUGGCACUGCUAACAUUAGCGAUGCUAGCCCUAUGGAUUUAAUUCUAAACAUUAGUUCUGCUGAAGCCAAAGUGCUAAAUCAACACGGUAGUUAGCUGAAGCUAAUGCUAAAGUGCUAAACCAACACAGAAUUAUUAGUGUGCUAAUCAUUUUCAAAGUUAGCAAAACUAAUAAGAUCCAUAUUAGCCCUGCUUUUACUGGUGGAGCUAACCUUUAGCCUAACUAGCCUGAAAAUGGAACGUGAGGGAAACUGAAGGCGACAAGCAGCCGAGAGUUUGGUUCAAAUCAUCUGGAGACUUCUGGAGUUUCAACCGGACCCAAAAACAUAGAGAGCCGUGUCCUUUUUGUUCACAGGUUGCCAUGGAAACGCCAGGCUGUUAGAGAACCAAAUGCAAACCUAGAGGUUGUUGGGCCGAGUCCCAGAGCAGAACCAGAACCACAGACUCAGUCGCAUUUCAGAACAUGAAGGUUGGAGGAGGAGAUGGAAUCCAUCCAUCCAUCCAUCCAUCCAUCCAUCCAUCCAUCCAUCCAUCCAUCCAUCCAUCCAUCCAUCCAUCCAUCCAUCCAUCCAUCCAUCCAUCCAUCCAUCCAUCCAUCCAUCCAUCCUGAUCUCUUCCUCUCUGCAGUAACUCUGAGUUGAGGAUCAUUAGAUCAUCAGUUAAACUGGAACUCCAGUCGUUCUUUUGUUUCUCCUCCCACUGAUGGAAAGCCUGAGAUAUGAAGGUGGAGGAGGAGGUUGCCUCAUCCCAGACCGCUAAAAAUAACUUCAUGACGUUAUCUUCACAAACCGUCAUAAAUGUCUCAAUAUCCUGAAAACAGAUCGCUGAGGAAACCAGGAAGUAACCAAUCAGGAAACAUCUGAGACUUUGGGUUAGAGGCACUGAUGAGGAGUGAGGCCUUGGCGUCGGGGUGAUCUGGACCGGUGCUGGAAGUGAAGCGGCUCGGCGGUUCUGUUGGUGCGUGUUUGUGAUGUGAUGCGACGUCUGUUCCCACGACACCAAACGACCUCGAGCUGCGACUCUCUGCCUAUAAAUGGCUCGUCUGGUGGCAUUCUGGUGACCCGUCAGGCCGUAAAAGGACAGGCAGAGAAAUGGACUGAGGGAGGCGGAAAAAGAACAGAAAUAUCCAGGAAGCCGGAGCCGGUGGAGGAAAAGUCUUUGAAACGUAUCGAUACGUAUCAAUGAGGGUUUUCUGUCGCACUUCAUGGUUCUGGAGGAAUUCUGGUCCAGUUCACUGAGCCGUUGGGAACAGAAACACUGAACCAGCUGGAGCUUCGACUGAAAGAAAUGCAGUGAAGACAAUGAAUGACUGGAGAGUAGCAGGAAAAGGUUUAAAUCUCCUGAAAACACGUUAAGAAUCAGACCUGUUGGUUUUAUUCUGACAGGAUCUACAGAGAAACAGCAGCUGUUUAACCUUUGACCUUCAGCUCCUCAUCAUGAUCAGGAGAUGAUGAGAAGGAGAAAACGAGGCCUUGGUUCUGAUUUAUUGAUCUCAGAAACAAAACACAGAAAACCUGAGGAGUUUUAAUUUGAAUGUUGAACUCAGAGCUGCUUCCCGACCCGGAACGGCGACUCGGACCGGACCGCCGGCUGUCAGGAUAUAUCCGUCUGCGUCCUCACAUACGGCCGCGCCUCACACAGCUGUUACCCUCCAGUCCGACCCGGCAAGCUAUGAAUUAUAUAAAUUACAACAAGUUUGGUUCUUCUGUGUCCUGGAUCCUUCAACAGGCAGAAAUAAUGAAUAUCUGGGAAGCAUCAUAACUAAAACUCAAAGUGCCAGGAUUUUAUAGAAAAAUAUUUAGAUUUUAUUUUGUGAUUGUAAAGGCAAGUAAAGACAUACUUUCUUUUUUUUUACCGUCAGCUGCUCUGCUCUCUGCUCCCACACUCUCAGCUGUCAGCCACUUUUAAAUUCUUCUCAUUAAUGUACGAGUUAGAGAGGUAAAUAUGAUGGAGAUAUUUGCUACAUUCAACAAACAAGCUCAGGUCUAUCAAAGCAAUGCAGUCAGUUUUUCUAGUUUUGAGGCAGUUUAUCAUGAUUCAACCAAAGUAAUGAAAUAAUAAACUACAGUCUGAUUUUUACUGUUGAUGAGUUUCUUCCUUUUGAGCAGAUAAGGAAAUAAAAGGUUUAUAUGUCUUUUACUUACUGGAGGGUUUACUGUUUGUACUGCAUAGCCACAGCUAACAGAUAGCUAACUGCUAGCUCGUCUCUCCAGCGGCUCUGAGAGCCGGUACCGGUCCUGCCACACAUCGGACCGGACCAUAAUAAUGGAGGGGGGGACGAAAAAUAAAUUUUAAUUUCUUUCUUUGAUGAAUAGCAGAUUCAUUACUUUCUUUUUUCUUUUCUUUUCUUUUCGUUUUUCCGAGAUUCGGACGUUCCUGACCCCCGACCUCUCCGGGAUUUCCGUCACAUUUUGGUUCUGGAGCAGCUCGUCAACAGAACCACCAGCGGUCAGAGUCUCUGACGGACAGCAUUAAACUGAGCUACGAAACUCCAUCUGUUCCGUUAACACAACUGAACCGAGGCUGUGUCACUCCAGGACUCGGUUCAUCAGAGGCUGUUAGCUGUUAGCUGCAAGCUAAGGGUCAAAGUACUUGUGCGUUUCAAAGUCAUGCUGAAAUCACAGCGCCAUCUGGUGGCCUGGCAUGGUAACUACAGCGGGUUGAAGGUGACUAGUUGGAUGUUGAUUGAACUUUUCUCCAGUCAAUAUCUGGAAACGCGGCCAGCUUCACGGCGGCUGGGUCAUUAAAUUCAGCCUGGACAGAAGAACUCUGGGAACCUUUGAGGAAACGGGCUCUGGACCUUAAGGACAUCUUCAGAUAAUCUUCCACUUUAUUCUGCAGAAUCCCUUUAUGCUAAUCUUGUUUUUCUGCAACCUGAAUGAACCAACGUUCUUGUUGUUCUGGUUUCCAUCUAAAGCUCCAACAGAAUAAAUAAAGUCAAACUCAGACCAAAG